GGGGUUGUAGCUCAGUGGCAGAGUACUUGCCUAGCAUGUAUGAGGCACUGGGUUCGAUCCUCAGCACCA
rnacentral:tRNA from 1 species